rnacentral:rRNA from 1 species
AGUUUGAUCAUGGCUCAGGAUGAACGCUGACAGAAUGCUUAACACAUGCAAGUCUAUUUGAAGCACUUUCGGGUGUGGAGGAUGGCGGACGGGUGAGUAACGCGUAAGGAACUUGCCUUUUGGACUGGGACAACUGUUGGAAACGACAGCUAAUACCGGAUAUUAUGAGAUUCUCGCAUGGGAAACUUAUGAAAGCUAUAUGCGCCAAAAGAGAGCCUUGCGUUCCAUUAGCUAGUUGGUGGGGUAAAGGCCUACCAAGGCGACGAUGGAUAGCCGGCCUGAGAGGGUGAACGGCCACAAGGGGACUGAGACACGGCCCUUACUCCUACGGGAGGCAGCAGUGGGGAAUCUUCGGCAAUGGACGAAAGUCUGACCGAGCAACGCCGCGUGAGUGAUGAAGGUUUUCGGAUCGUAAAACUCUGUUGUUAGAGAAGAACAAGAGAAGUAGUAACUGGCUUCUCCUUGACGGUAUCUAACCAGAAAGCCACGGCUAACUACGUGCCAGCAGCCGCGGUAAUACGUAGGUGGCAAGCGUUGUCCGGAUUUAUUGGGCGUAAAGCGAGCGCAGGCGGUCUCUUAAGUCUGAUGUGAAAGCCCACGGCUUAACCGUGGAGGGUCAUUGGAAACUGGGAGACUUGAGUGCAGAAGAGGAAAGUGGAACUCCAUGUGUAGCGGUGGAAUGCGUAGAUAUAUGGAAGAACACCAGUGGCGAAGGCGGCUUUCUGGUCUGUAACUGACGCUGAGGCUCGAAAGCGUGGGGAGCAAACAGGAUUAGAUACCCUGGUAGU